GGGGAACUUUUGCAUGCUCCCUUUUCAGCUUAUUGCAAACCCUUUCUGUCUCUGUUAGACCAAAACUGGGCCUUCUGCACUGGUGCACAUCAUUACCAGGGAUUCACCUUCUCUACAAGACAUUUUAAAGUGAUACUUGGAAAACUGUCCUUUGCCUAUAGAAAAUGUACCCCUGAGUUCCUCAGAGCUGUGCUGACAGCCUGGAAACUGGAAGCACACAUCCAGUUCUCUGCCAUGGGUCAUGUGUGGCUGCUCCCAGCACUGGCCAAGCAGCAGCCCUUGUGCCAGUCCUUGUGCCAGCCCUUCCCUGUUCCAGGCUCUGGAACACCAUCCCUACAGCUCAACCAGCACAGCUUGGGCUGCCUUACAUUUAACAGAUGUUAAAUAAGGAACUACUUUGAUUUUCCUGGGCCGCUGCACGCUCCCAUCCACAGCGCAGCGCUGCAGAAAACUCCUGAUUUAAACGCAGAACCUGGGGCCGGGAGGUUUGUGUGGCUGGCGCUGCUCCGCGUUGUUCUGCGCUCCGGAUGGAUCCUGCCCCUCUCUGUUCCAAUGACCUUGCUGUCGUGUCCUGGGGACCUUCUCAAGGAUUUCUGCCGAGCUGCAGUGAGCCCCGGCCAUGCUCCCACCCCUGCUGACUGAUAAUCUUGGAAGCAGCAGUGAAUAGAUUUGUAGCUCCACUUAGAAUAAACAAGAUACGCAUGAGGUGGAACGUGCCACGGGCUCUGCUCCGGCGAGGUGCUCCUGGGGAUAAUUUCUUUCUCUCCUGCAAAGGGCAGAGGGAGCUGGGAGCACAAAGCUGUCCCGGGAUUUCUUCUGUCCUGUGCACUAGAACAAUGAGGGUGAAAAUCUCAAGGAAAUUGUUCUGCAGAAACGCACAGUGCUCCAAGUGGCUGGUCAGUGUGUUCAGAUUUAUCCAA